GGCGUUGUGGUGUAGUGGUAACACAGCUGCGAGCGAGAUAGGUUGUUAAAACUAUGGUACGGCGGUUCUGUAUCCUGGGCCUAUUCGCUUACCUACAGAAGCUCCCAGUUCAAACCUGGGCAGUGCCA